ACAAUGGAGAGUUUGAUCCUGGCUCAGGAUGAACGCUAGCGGCAGGCUUAAUACAUGCAAGUCGAGGGGUAACAGUUCCGAGUAAUCGGAAGCUGACGACCGGCGCACGGGUGCGUAACGCGUAUGCAACCUACCUCCAACUGGGGCAUAGCCCCGAGAAAUCGGGAUUAAUACCUCAUAAUAUUCAUCAUUCGCAUGUUUGAUGAAUUAAAGUUUUAACGGUUAGAGAUGGGCAUGCGUGGCAUUAGCUUGUUGGUGAGGUAACGGCUCACCAAGGCAACGAUGCCUAGGGGUUCUGAGAGGAUUUUCCCCCACACUGGUACUGAGACACGGACCAGACUCCUACGGGAGGCAGCAGUAAGGAAUAUUGGGCAAUGGACGAAAGUCUGACCCAGCCAUGCCGCGUGCAGGAUGACGGCCCUACGGGUUGUAAACUGCUUUUAUA
rnacentral:ncRNA from 1 species